UACGGGGGGGGCAAGCGUUGUUCGGAAUUACUGGGCGUAAAGGGCUCGUAGGCGGCCAACUAAGUCAGACGUGAAAUCCCUCGGCUUAACCGGGGAACUGCAUCUGAUACUGGAUGGCUUGAGAUUGGGAGAGGGAUGCGGAAUUCCAGGUGUAGCGGUGGAAUGCGUAGAUAUCUGGAGGAACACCGGUGGCGAAGGCGGCAUCCUGGACCAACACUGACGCUGAGGAGCGAAAGCCAGGGGAGCAAACGGG
rnacentral:rRNA from 1 species